CGGGGUGUAGCUCAGCUUGGCAGAGCGCGUCGUUCGGGACGACGAGGUCCGCAGUUCAAAUCUGCGCACCCCGACCA
rnacentral:tRNA from 2 species